rnacentral:rRNA from 1 species
CAUGUACGGGAGGCAGCAGGNGGGGAAUUUGGACAAUGGGCGAAAGCCUGAUCCAGCAAUGCCGCGUGUGUGAUGAAGGCCUUCGGGUUGUAAAGCACUUUUGGCGGGAACGAAAAGGACUGUGCCAAUACCACGGUUCGAUGACGGUACCCGCAGAAUAAGCACCGGCUAACUACGUGCCAGCAGCCGCGGUAAUCAUG